UACGAAGGGGGCUAGCGUUGCUCGGAAUCACUGGGCGUAAAGCGCACGUAGGCGGAUUGUUAAGUCAGGGGUGAAAUCCUGGAGCUCAACUCCAGAACUGCCUUUGAUACUGGCGAUCUUGGAGUCCGGGAGAGGUGAGUGGAACUCCGAGUGUAGAGGUGAAAUUCGUAGAUAUUCGGAAGAACACCAGUGGCGAAGGCGGCUCACUGGCCCGGUACUGACGCUGAGGUGCGAAAGCGUGGGGAGCAAACAGG
rnacentral:rRNA from 1 species